rnacentral:rRNA from 1 species
AUUGAACGCUGGCGGCGUGCUUAACACAUGCAAGUCGAGCGGUAAGGCCCUUUCGGGGGUACACGAGCGGCGAACGGGUGAGUAACACGUGGGUGACCUGCCCUCAGCUCUGGGAUAAGCCUGGGAAACCGGGUCUAAUACUGGAUAUGACUCCAUGACGCAUGUUGUGGGGUGGAAAGCCUUGUGCGGCUGAGGAUGGGCCCGCGGCCUAUCAGCUUGUUGGUGGGGGAUGGCCUACCAAGGCGACGACGGGUAGCCGGCCUGAGAGGGCGACCGGCCACACUGGGACUGAGACACGGCCCAGACUCCUACGGGAGGCAGCAGUGGGGAAUCUUGCGCAAUGGGCGAAAGCCUGACGCAGCGACGCCGCGUGAGGGAUGACGGCCUGGUGUAAC